CGAAUUCAUGAAUUAUAUUGUAGAUUGCAAAUUUGAAUUUGGAGCAUGUGGUAAUAAGUUGAGUAGUUUAUACAUGUUGGACUUGGAAUUCGACUUAGGAGAAAACCUACGAUUGGGACCCGUCACUUGUUUAAACUGCCUGAUUUAGCUCUAAGAGUCGUUAUAAAAUUGUACUGUCGCAGUAUCUUUGAGACGAGUACUCCGGGUAGUUUAGAAUACAUUUACGCUCGUGCUGGUACGCCGAGUGGAUUUUUACAGAGUCAUUUCGCUGUUUCGGACUUUUGCGCCGUUGGAGUUGACGGUGGGCCCAGUUCGCCGUUUUGGCGUCAGAUUGUGCCGAGGGCACGUUACUUGUUUGUUGUUAGACCAGUUAGAGUCGGUUACUUAAACUUUGGCUUGACAGAGCCUGAUUAAGCUCAACAGAGAUACGCUGCAUACUCGGUUGGGUAGCGCCCACGAGUGCCACUCCGGAGACGGGCUUUGUGCUUUCGCGUUGGUGUCGCUCAUGCCAGUUGGACUUGCUCUCCACGGACCAGUUAGUGUGGAGGUAGCUGGAUAGUCACAACUGGGCAGGGACGGGUGUAUUCACAGUCCCAAGGACGGGUAGGUUUACAGUCCCGAUUGGAUUGGGUCCGAUUUGACAUUUCCUACAGUUGGUUAGUGUAGAGCAUGAUAGUGUAGUGAUUGAUAGCGGUAGAGUUUACUUCCUGCUUUUCCUACUAUCCUGGCUCCCCUCUGUAGACUUAGUGGGUGGACCGAUAUUGUUUGGGCUGCACCCACUGAGGACUACUUGUUUUUACAGUAGUUCUCACGCCCAGUUGUUACCCCUGUUUUGCAGAGCCACAGGUUCCGGCUGCUGCGCCUUCCGCGGAUCAGGAUCGAGGCAAGGGCGUCGCGAGUUAGAGCCCUACCCGAUGUGCUGAGCUAGAGGUGCCCCUACUGCAGGUAGAUUUUUUUUUUCGAGUUUAUGUACAUAGUAGACUUAACUCGCCAGUGCGAGUAGCUCUGUAUUUUGGAUUUGGACUAUGUAUAUGAAACUCAGUUUGUUUAGCUUAUGAUUCUCUAGCAGCUCUCUACUACUGUUCGUAGUAGUGUUGGAUUUACAGGUACAGCUAUCGCUUCGUUUACAGGAAAAAUUUUCUUUGUAUACGACGGAUUUGUCGGCGUGCUCGGGGAACGAGACAUUCGGGGCGUGACAGAUUAACUUGGUAUCAGAACUUUGCUGUAGGUCGUUGGGACCUAAGAAACCUAAGUUUGGCAAACCUUAGGAAGGCAAGACGUGAGAGGCGUAAUUUAUUGCGAAAGUCAAUGAUUAUUUAUUCUAACUCCUAGAGUGGAGUGAGUGACUGAAGGAGUUCCUGUUUUGGCCUGAGAAAUUAUGUUGGCUGCAGACAACAUAAUUUUGGAGGGAAACAGGGUCCGCCUUCCAGACUUUCGUUGAUUGGGUCAAAAGUGUUUGUGUUUCAACUGACCCCGAUCUGUUCUUUUCAGCUAUGUAUCGUCGCCGAGGCCAACCGUCGUUGCGGGAGCGUGCGCAGUUGGCACAGGAUCCUGCUAGAUCUCCCGAGAUGCCCGAGCAGGCAGAGCCGAGUGCACCACCAAAGGAAAGUGUACCCCCUGUUGUAGAGCAGAGGGCCCGACCGGAGGCGAGUGCAUCCCUGGAUUUGAGUGCACAGUUAGCUGCCCUCACAGAGGUGACGAGGUAGCAGGGGGAGAUGUUGCAAAGGUUGUGUGAGAGGGUGGCUCAGACAUCGAGUACAGUACCGAGAGCACCAGAGCAGGCCAUUCCGCCUCCGACUACUCCAAUGGUCGCACCAGCCGUAGCUGUACCCCCACCAGCAAAGUUUCCGGCCGCGCCAGUUGCGCCAGCUAGGGGACCGGUUUAGUUGACAGAGGCCGAGCAGGAGCGGUGGACAGAGAGGUUGGCCCGUUUCCGCCGUUUUGAUCACCGAUUUUCAAUGGCAGUUGCACUGAGGCCUGGAUUGUCGAGGGAUGGGUCAGUGCGAUGGAGAAGUUAUUUGAGGAUUUGUUUAUUCCAGAGGGGGAGCAGGUGUCUUUGGGAGUCCAUUGCUUGGCAGGUGAUGCCCACGUCUGGUGGAGGAGAGUGAGGAGAGAGCAGGGACUGGUGGCAUUGCAGCUGGGAUGGGAUGAGUUCUGUGGAAUGCUGUUUGGGAUGUUCUUUCCCAAUNAAGUGUACCCCCUGUUGUAGAGCAGAGGGCCCGACCGGAGGCGAGUGCAUCCCUGGAUUUGAGUGCACAGUUAGCUGCCCUCACAGAGGUGACGAGGCAGCAGGGGGAGAUGUUGCAGAGGUUGUGUGAGAGGGUGGCUCAGACAUCGAGUACAGUACCGAAAGCACCAGAGCAGGUCAUUCCGCCUCCGACUACUCCAAUGGCCGCACCAGCCGUAGCUGUACCACCCCCAGCGGAGUUUCCGGCCGCGCCAGUUGCGCCAGCUAGGAGACCGGUUCAGUUGACGGAGAUCGAGCAGGAGCAGUGGAUAGAGAGGUUGGCCCGUUUCCGCCGUUUCGAUCCGCCGAUCUUUGAUGGCAGUUGUACUGAGGCUUGAGUUGUUGAGGGCUGGGUCAGUGCGAUGGAGAAGCUAUUCGAGGAUCUUUUCAUCUCUGAGGGGGAGCAGGUGUUUUUGGGAGUCUAUUGUUUGGCAGGUGACGCCCACGCCUGGUGGAGGAGAGUGCGGAGAGAGUAGGGACUGGUAGCAUUACAGCUGAGUUUGGAUGAGUUCUGUGGAAUGCUGUUUGGGAUGUUCUUUCCCAACAGUGUGAAGCAGAAGCUCGAGGAGGAUUUGAGGAGGCUUCAGCAGGGGGAUCGGCCAGUGCAGGAGUACGUUCGAGAGUUUACUCGACUCCUGAACUGCAUGCCAUUUGUGGCCAGAGAUGAGGCCCGCAGGGUUUACAUGUUCGAGCAGGGGCUGAGACCGGAUAUUUUUAGGUUGACUCGGACGCAGAGGUCGAGGACUCUGGAUGCGUCUAUAGAGCAGGCCUUGUAGGUGGUGCGAGGUGAGGCAUCGCUGCAGGAGAGGACUCAGGCCGUAGGGCAGAGUCAGGACAGGAAGCGCCCCUUUCCAGAUGACGGUGGACAGUCGAGCAGCAGACGUCCGCCGAGGCCUCCACAAUCACGUUCUCAGGGUCGUGGGUUUUCGAGACGUCAGCGUUCCAGGGGAUCCCGUCAGCAGGGUCAGACUUAGAGGGCACUGCUGUGUGUGAUCUGCGGGGGACCACACUGGCCCCGGCAGUGCGAGCAGAGAGAGUGCAGGUGCUACGGAUGUGGUCAGCCGGGACACAUGAGGGCAGCUUGUCCCCCAAUAGCGUCUCCAGCACCAUCAACUUCAGCACCACCAGCACCGCAGCAGUCUUACGGAGCAGCACCGAGCUACCGCCAUGAGGACAGAUCGUCUGUGCCGCGGUCGAGUGAGCGGCGACAGCAGGCUCCGAGUGGCAGGGUUUAUACAGCCCGGGUGAAGGACUCUACAGCAGCCGACCGAGUGGUGGCAGGUAUCACUUUGAUUUCUGGCAUUAGAGUUCGCACUCUUUUUGAUACCGGUGCCUCGCAUUCCUUUGUUAGCCGAGCAUUUGCACAGUUACAUGGUCUAGAGUUAGGAGCGUUGUCUCAAGCACGAGAGGUGCAGAUCCCAGACUAUGUUUUGCAGGUUGUGGAGUGUUGUUGGUCAUGCCCGGUGCAGCUAGACUCGUGGAUUAUGCCCGCAGAUUUGUUGGUGUUAGGGCAGCUGCAGGAUUUCGACGUCGUGCUCGGUAUGGAUUGGCUGGCGCGGUACUAUGCUACGAUCGACUGUGGAGCGAGGAUGGUGACGUUCCGCGAGCCAGGCCAUGAGGAGUUUACUUUUAGACGCUGCAGGAGCACGCUGUUUGCCACCUGGAUAUCUUCGGCGAGGGCUCGACAGAUGCUGAAUAGCGGGUGUAUCGCUUUCCUAGCGACAGUUGUGGAGGUACCUACGGCGGCGCCGGGACUCGAGGAUAUCCCAGUAGUCCGCGAGUUUCCGGAUGUAUUUCCCCCUAAGUUGACGUCGUUGCCGCCGGAGAGGGAGAUUGAGUUUGUGAUUGAUGUAGUUCCUAGAACUGCACCAAUCUCGAAGGUACCUUAUCGGAUGGCGCCGGCAGAGCUGAGAGAGCUAAAGGCACAGCUUCAGGAUUUGAUAGAUAGAGGGUUUGUGAGACCCAGUGUUUCGCCUUGGGGAGCGCCAGUGUUGUUUGUGAAGAAAAAGGAUGGUUCACUUAGGCUGUGUAUGGAUUACCGGGAGCUGAAUAAAGUGACCAUCAAGAAUAAGUAUCCCUUGCCUCGUAUUGAUGAUUUGUUUGAUCAGCUGCAGGGAUCUUAUGUCUUCUCGAAGGUUGAUCUCCAGUCAGGUUACCACCAGCUGAGAGUAAGGGCCGAGAAUGUUCCCAAGACAGCUUUUCGGACUCGGUACGGGCAUUAUGAGUUCACGGUGAUGCCUUUUGGAUUGACGAAUGCCCCUACCGCAUUCAUGGAUUUGAUGAACAGAGUGUUCAAGCCGUUCUUAGAUAGAUUUGUGGUAGUCUUCAUCGACGAUAUCCUGAUUUACUCCCGGAGUGAUGCUGAGCAUGAGCACUUGAGGAUUGUGCUACAACUUCUGCGAGAGAAGAAAUUGUAUGCCAAGUUAAAGAAGUGCAAGUUCUGGCUACGGGAGGUUGCUUUCUUGGGCCACGUGAUUUCAGCUAAGGGCGUAGCAAUGGACCCGAAGAAGAUUGAGGCGAUUCGAGAUUGGCCUAGACCGACGACGGUGACUGAGGUACGGAGUUUCCUGAGACUGGCAGGAUAUUACCGUCGGUUUGUGGAAGGCUUUGCGAAGCUUUCCACACCCCUCACACGCUUGACGCGGAAGGGGAUUCGUUUUGUCUGGAGCGACGACUGUCAGAGGAGUUUUGACGAGUUGAGACUGAGGUUGACGUCGGCUCCUAUCCUUGCCCUUCCGGUGAUGGGGGAUGGAUUUGUGAUCUACAGUGAUGCAUCGCACAGUGGACUUGAUUGCGUGCUGAUGCAGUAUGAUAGGGUGAUUGCUUAUGCUUCACGGCAGUUAAAGAAUUAUGAGAAGAAUUACCCUACGCAUGACUUGGAGCUUGCCGCAGUGGUUUUUGCUUUGAAGCUCUGGCGGCAUUACUUGUACGGCGAGCACUGCGAGGUCUUCACCGAUCAUAAAAGUCUCAAGUAUCUGUUCACACAGAGGGAGCUGAACCUGAGGCAGCGCCGGUGGUUAGAGUUACUGAAGGACUAUGACAUUAGUAUUCAGUAUCAUCCCAGCAGGGCGAAUGUUGUGGCAGAUGCGUUGAGCAGGAAGUCAGUGCAGAGCCUGAGUUUGAGGAUCACUGAGCAGAGACCCCUACUCAAGGAGCUACAGCGGCUGGGACUCGAGAUAGUACCCCCUGAGUCUACGGCGAGGCUGACGUCUCUAGUUUUGCAGCCCACUCUGUUGGAUAGGAUCCGAGAGAAACAGAGUGGAGAUCCGUACUUGUUGAGGAUUAGAGCAGCUAGACAGGGGGCAGGCUGAGAGUUUUGCUUUGGACAGUUCGGGAGUACUACGGUACAGGGACCGACUGUGUGUGCCUGUGGAUUCUGAAAUCCGAGCAGACAUUCUGAGAGAGGCUAAUUGUUCUCCUUAUACGGUUCACCCAGGUGGGACCAAGAUGUAUAAGGACUUAAAGGCACAGUUUUGGUGGAAUGGAAUGAAGAGAGACAUUGGCAGAUAUGUGGCUCAGUGUUUGACUUGCCAACAGGUGAAGGCCGAGCAUCAGAUGCCUGCUGGGAAGCUUCAGAAUCUGCCAUUGCCCGAGUAGAAGUGGGAGUACAUCACGAUGGACUUCGUCGUUGGAUUGCCUAGAGCGCAGGGUGGCUACGACGCGAUUUGGGUGAUAAUGGACAGACUGACCAAGUCUGCUCACUUCCUACCAGUUCAGACUACCUGGUCCAGAGAGAGACUCGCGCAGCUAUACUUGGAUGAGAUUGUUAGGCUGCACGGCGUGCCAGUGUCGAUUGUAUCAGACAGAGACCCGAGGUUUGUAUCCCAGUUUUGGAGGAGCCUUCAGACCACCGCCUUGGACACUCAGCUGCAUUUUAGCACGGCGUUCCACCCACAGACAGAUGGUCAGUCAGAGCGGACCAUACAGACUCUAGAGGACAUACUGAGGGCAUGCGUCCUGGAUUUUGGAGGAGGGUGGUAUCGACAUGUGAGACUAGUUGAGUUUACGUACAACAACAGCUAUCAAGCGAGCAUUCGGAUGGCUCCGUUUUAAGCGUUGUAUGGACGCAGAUGUCGAUCCCCUCUGUUUUGGAGUGAUGUGGGUGAGAGGAUGACACUUGGACCGGAGAUCUUACUUGAGGCUGAGGAAAAGAUGAGAGUCGUUCGACAACACCUUUUGACAGCACAGAGCCGACAGAGGAGCUACGCCGAUAUCAGAAGACGAGACUUGGAGUUUCAGGUUGGAGAUCAUGUUUUCCUCAAAGUCUUGUCGUCCAAAGGAAUACGCCGAUUUGGAGUACGUGGAAAGCUUAGUCCACUGUUUGUUGGCCCUUUCGAGGUAUUGGAGCGUCUCGAACCGGUUGCAUACAGGAUAGCUCUACCCCCGCGACUUACUGGCAUCCACGAUGUUUUCCACGUCUCAGCAUUGAGGAGAUACGUUUUCGAUCCCUCUCAUGUGAUUGACUUCACUCCACUUGAGAUUGGCGAGGAUCUGAGAUACGAGGAGCGACCGUUGCGGAUUCUUGCUCGAGAGACAAAAGAAUUGUGCAAUCGGAUCAUCCCGUAUGUGAAAGUGCAGUGGAGUAAUCAUGAUGAGCGGGAGGCGACUUGGGAGUCUGAGACGGUGAUGAAGGAGGCCAAUCGCUAUUUGUUUGAUGCCUGAGCAGAGGUAUGUUUCAGUUUCGAUGACGAAAUUUUUUGUAGAGGGGGAGGAUGUGAGAUCCCUGGUGUACGGCUGUGGAGGCUUGCCGACAGCUCUGGAGAGUGUCGAGACAAGUUUGAGUCGCGUUGGCGUAAAAUGCAUGCAAAACGAACCCCCCGCGACGCGAACGUAGCACUUGGCGAGAAAAUCCGCAAAAUUGCAGGUUUUCUGCUUGCUGUACCGGUACAGCCAUCAAGGUGUACCGGUACACUUCAGCUAGCUACACGCGGGCUGCUCUCGGGUUAGCCUCUAUACCGGUACACCGACCCCUCGUACCGGUACACCAGGGUAGGUAAGGGGUGGUUUGGUCUUUUUCCCACUUCGUUCAUAUCACCCUUUCUCUCUCUCUAGCUAGGUUCUUGCGCACGGUGGAGCUCGGGUGGAGUUCGGAUUUCGUCGCCGACGUCGCGCCGCGGAGUCGUUCGAGCACGUGUUUGACGCCGGGGUAGCGCGAGGAGGCUGGGCGAGCGUAGGUUUUCGCCGUUCUUGCUGUCGCACCGGUGCUUGGUGUUGUCGAGGUGGGUAAUUCAGCAUUUUCUUUGUUUUUGGGCAAGUUCUUACUACUUCAACUCGGAAUGAUGUUGUUGCUGAAAUUCAUCGCCGACUGUUAGUAUUUCAGCUCGUACUCGACGUAGGAGCAUCGGAUUUCGACGAGGCUUGGUUCGUUGGAUUCGGGACUUCGAGAAGAAUCCACGAAGCCCUUACUUGCCGGAUUUGGUGAAGGUUAGCUUGGUCGAAUCCCUUUUCUACUCUGUUGCUGCGAAAUUCGGACCGAAUAGGUGGAUUUUGAUCGUAGAGCUUGGAGUUAGCUCGAGUGCUAGACUUGGAGGGUUCCAGUUGAUCCAGCAGGGAUCACUUUGGUGCGAGGCUUCGUUCGUUGCCAGGAGCUAGCUUCUUGAGGUGAGUUACAUCGGUUUUGACUCCUAAGUUCUAAUCAUCGACAUGUAUAAUUUCGAUUUUGGUAUAGUCUAUUCUAGCUCGAAUUCAUGGAUUAUAUUGUAGAUUGCAAAUCUGAAUUUGGAGCAUGCGGUAAUAAGUUGAGUAGUUUAUACAUGUUGGACUUGGAAUUCGACUUAGGAGAAAACCUGCGAUUGGGACCUGUCACUUGUUUAAACUGCCUGAUUUAGCUCUAGGAGCCGUUAUAAAAUUGUACUGUCGCAGUAUCUUUGAGACGAGUACUCCGGGUAGUUUAGAAUAUAUUUACGCUCGUGCUGGUACGCCGAGUGGAUUUUUACAGAGUCAUUUGGCUGUUUCGGACUUUUGCGCCGUUGGAGUUGACGGUGGGCCCGGUUCGCCGUUUUGGCGUCAGAUUGUGCCGAGGGCACGUUACUUGUUUGUUGUUAGACCAGUUAGAGUCGGUUACUUAAACUUUGGCUUGACAGAGCCUGAUUGAGCUC
rnacentral:lncRNA from 1 species